rnacentral:lncRNA from 13 species
UCCCUUCCAUGGGACGAUUGAGCUAACAUAGGCUAAUGCGAUUAGCAUGAGGUUGUAAGUAAGGCAAUUUCUCUGGACAUAGACAUAUUUGAUAUUGUCAGAAAGCUUAAAUUCUUGUUAAUCUAACUGCACUGUCCAAUUUACAGUAGCUAUUAUAGUGAAAGAAUACUGUUGCGUCAAAAAACAGAACACUCAAAACAUCCUUCCUUUAAAGAACUCCAGGCCUCAAGAGGGCAGAUAACCCAAAAACACAGGUGGAACUCAAAAAUUGAGCCAGGAUUUCUGGAGGGACUACUUUUACAUGCGCACCUGGCAGAUAAGCAUGGGUAUAAAAUGUUUGGGCUUAGCUUUGCUUGGGUCCUCAACAUACAAACAGCUCAUUGUUCAACCCUAAAGACGCAACUGGUUUCUCUCUUCUUCACCUCCGCUUCUUUGUCACUGACUUCACACCUCUAGAUGGCCGGGUAGGUGUGGAGCCGGAGACAGCAGGGAUCCGGCUGGAUGAACCAGCUUCAGAGGGAGAUGGACACCUAGACAUUGGCGGCUCAUAAUCAUAAUCACUGCCAAUGUGAAUAAUAUUUUAAAAAAUCAGUAACAAUACUUUCACGUAUGAGCCCUGUAUCAACACGUAAAAUAUACAGAUAUGUAUUAUAUAGAGUACAGAGAACACACACAAAGUGCUGUUCCAUUCCAUGUUUAUGUAAAAUAAAUGUAAAAAAUAUAACACACACACACACACACACUGCAUAGCCAAUGUGUACUUUACACAUUUCAUUACACAUUUCAUUACUAAUGAUAUUUUUAUAUAUUGCAAACAAAAUAAGAAAUUCUUUAAAAAAUCCCAAAUUAAUAAUAUUUGAUAGCACAAAUGUUUCGUCCAAAGUUGAAUGAGACGGAAAUCACGACGCGAGCGGUUUACAAAUGUUUUGUGUUAGGCUAUAAAAAUUGAUUUUAUCAAACAAAACGAACAUUCACUGUCUAGUUAGGACACUUGGCAUUGCCACCAGAGGAAGAUCUUCAAAGGUAAGCGAUUUAUUUGAUUGUUCUUGUUAUUAUUGUUGUUCUGACUUUCGUGACGCUAAUGCUUGGUUGGAAAAUGCAAGUAAUACUUCUGUGUGCAGGGCGCUGUCCUCAGACAAUAUGCUUUUGCCGUAAAGCCAUUUUGAAAUCUGAAACACCGGCUGGAUUAACAAGAAGUUAAUCUUUUAAAUGAUGUAAAAUACUUGUAUUUACAUAAAUGUUUAAUAUUACGAAUGGUGUAUUUAGAAUUUUAGAGCUCUGCCAUUUCACCGGAUGUUGGCCUGGUAGGACGGUAGCAUCCCA